AACGCGAAGAACCUUACCACCUUUUGACAUGCCCGGACCGCCACAGAGAUGUGGUUUUCCCUUCGGGGACCGGGACACAGGUGCUGCAUGGCUGUCGUCAGCUCGUGUCGUGAGAUGUUGGGUUAAGUCCCGCAACGAGCGCAACCCUCGCCUUUAGUUGCCAUCAUUAAGUUGGGAACUCUAAAGGUACCGCCGGUGGUAAGCCGGAGGAAGGUGGGGAUGAUGUCAAGUCCUCAUGGCCCUUACAAGGUGGGCUACACACGUGCUACAAUGGCGACUACAGAGGGCAGCAAACCAGCGAUGGGGAGCCAAUCCCUAAAAGUCGUCUCAGUUCGGAUUGCACUCUGCAACUCGAGUGCAUGAAGUCGGAAUCGCUAGUAAUCGCGGAUCAGCACGCCGCGGUGAAUACGUUCCCGGGCCUUGUACACACCGACAUA
rnacentral:rRNA from 1 species